rnacentral:rRNA from 1 species
GACGAACGCUGGCGGCGUGGAUUAGGCAUGCAAGUCGAACGGUAUCAUCCUUUCGGGGGUGAGAGAGUGGCGAACUGGUGAGUAACACGUAGGUUAUCUACCCUCAAGACGGGGACAACCCAGGGAAACUUGGGCUAAUACCGGAUGUGAGCAACUUUUAGUUGUUUGAAAGGUGGCGUAAGCUGUCGCUUGGGGAUGAGCCUGCGUCCUAUUAGUUAGUUGGUGAGGUAACGGCUCACCUAGGCAAUGAUAGGUAGGCGGCCUUAACGGGUGGUCGCCCACACUGGGAUUGAGAUACGGCCCAGACUCCUACGGGAGGCAGCAGUCGAGAAUAGUCUACAAUGGUCGGAAGACUGAUAGUGCGACGCCGCGUGAACGAUGAAUCCCUUCGGGGUGUAAAGUUCUUUUAUAUGUGAGCAGUGCUUCUUAUAUUAACAGUAUGGGGAGAGAGAUAUUAGCAUAUGAAUAAGCAACGGCUAACCCGUGCCCAGCAGCCGCGGUAAGACG